rnacentral:rRNA from 1 species
AAUACCAAAAAUUCUCAUGAACCCAUACCCAGUACUGAAUGACCCCAUAAACAUAUGGGAGAUACUAUGCUGAAACUAGUAACAAGAAUUCAACAUUCUCCAAAAUGCAAGCAUACACCAAAAUGGAUGCCCCAUUGGCUAUUAACGAAAAUGAAUAAAACACAGCAACACCACAAGAAAACUCUGAGUGCUAACUCGUUAAUCUUACACUAGCGCAUUACUGGAAAGAUUAAAAGAGGAAGAAGGAACUCGGCAAAUUUCAAUCCCGCCUGUUUACCAAAAACAUCGCCUUUUGAAAACUAUAAAAGGUCUAGCCUGCCCAGUGACAAGGUUCAACGGCCACGGUACCCUAACCGUGCGAAGGUAGCAUAAUCACUUGUUCUUUAAAUAGGGACUAGUAUCAACGGCAUCACGAGGGUUGCACUGUCUCCUUCCUCUAAUCAGUGAAACUGAUCUCCCCGUGAAGAAGCGGGGGUACAACUAUAAGACGAGAAGACCCCAUGGAGCUUUAAACCAAUGGCAACUCAAUCACAUAUUUCCUCUUAACUCCAAGAGCCAUGCAUAUAGGUUUUAGGUUGGGGUGACCGCGGAGUACAAGUAAACCUCCACGACGAAAAGAACUAAAUCUUUAUCCAAGAGCUACAGCUCUCAGAAUUAGCACACUAACGAACUAUGAUCCGAUAAUCGAUCAACGAACCAAGUUACCCUGGGGAUAACAGCGCAAUCUACUUCAAGAGCCCAUAUCGACAAGUAGGCUUACGACCUCGAUGUUGGAUCAGGGUACCCAAGUGGUGCAGCCGCUACUAAUGGUUCG